rnacentral:lncRNA from 1 species
UGAAGUAGCUUUCCUAUUAUGUAGGAACAGUUCUCAAGCCUAAAUCACCCUAGAGCAGUGAAUGCAAAACUUUUAGAGAUGAGUGCCCAAACUGUAACCUAAAACCUACUUAUUUAUCGCAAAGUCACUGCAACUAAACCUGAAUACUGAGGUUUAAAUUUAUAAAAAAAAAAAACUCAUACAUUAGCAUCUUCUGUCUUAAAAGAAAAACAAAUAACACCAUGCCAUAGGUUCACCACCACUGCCUCAGAGGCCUCUUCUUUAGAUUUAGGAUUCUGGUUUAAUCACUUGGGGCUAAUUUGCUCCUGACCACAUGGAAUAAAGUAUGCCAAUCCCUGAUGAAGUAUGUUUCUGUACUAGUUUUCUCAAAAUAGAGCAGUGUAACUGGCAGAAACUUUGAGGUUUCAUGACCACUUCGUAUAUUCUUAUCAGAAAGAAAGAAGCCAGCACUGGCUGUAUUUCUACUAUAGAGAGAUGCACCAUCCUUGGAAAAUGGUAAAAUUUGGUACAGAAUUGCUCCAUAUCAUCCAUCGGGCACCAGGUCAUUUAGUUUAUACUCUAUUGUCCAGGAUUAUUGGAAUUUCCUUUCAAGUAGCAAAUGCUACCAAGCAGAAGAGAAACAAACUUUUUCUGGAGUCAACUUCAAAGUUUUGAUAUUGAGAACCACCUGCAACAGAACACUAUUUAAGAUCAAUGACCAGUGUCAGAAUGAAAGAGACACUACACUGUUCAGAUCUGAAGGGCAGCAUCUUAUAAGAAAUUAGUGUCAGAUGGUCUGUGUUAGAAUCCUGCUGUGUAGUCAGUUGUGAUGACCUUGGAUGUAUCAUUGAACCUCUUAAAGCCAUAUUGUGUAUGUAUAUGUGUUUAACCUGUAAAAGUCAGAUAGUAAUCUUGC